GCCAUCGAGAAGGCCAGAGACAACCGGCAGCGCCGCCAGGACUGGCAGAAGGAGCGCAAGCAGAACCUGGAGACGUUCGGCGUGGAGGGCACGCGCCGGCCGUACCGGCGCGGCGGCUACGGGCGCGGCUACUAUAACAACCGCGGCGGCGGCGGCGGCGGCGGCGGCGGCGGCUACUACGGCAACCGCGGCGGCGGAGGCUACUAUAACAACCGUGGUGGCGGCUACUACAACAACCGGGGCGGUUACCGGGGAUACUACAACAACUACAACCGGGGGUACAACAGCCGGCGGGGUGGCGGCGGUGGCGACGGCUCGUACCAGCGCGGCGGCCGCUCUGAGCGGGGCCAGGAGGCCAGCAGCUGGCCGAGCGCCGAGCCACGCUCGGAGGCCGUGCAGAACUAGGCGGCGCCGGCGCCCCCGGCCGGCGCGCGCCAACGUUACAGUGCAAAGGUGCGCUGCGGCGGGGCUCAGCCCCGAUCGGCAGACGGUGAAUGAGUGAGGGAGUGCGCGGAGGAGCGGGCCGGCGCGGACUGGCGCCCGCGGCAGUGAGGCGGAGGCCGCCGUCCGAGCGGGCGCGGGACGAAACCGAAGAAUCGUGACUGAAGGAACACUAUGGCGCGGAUCCGAUCGUAAAGCGGCGGUGGCGGUGCGAUGCGGACGGCGGCGGCGGCAGGACGGCAGCAGCAGCAGGACGGACGGAGGGGCGCGGCGCUGGAGUCCCCCGUGGCAAGACCCGGGCCGGCGGCCGGGCGGCUCGCGGCGCCCCCGUCGGCGGGGGCGACGCGCCGGCCGGCCGGCCGCGCGGCUCCGCUCCCGCGAGGCCUGGUGGGAGCGUCACGUGGGCAGAGGCAGUCAAGGCCAGCCAGACAGGAAACCGGCAGCGGCGGCGCCACCGGCGCGCGCCGUCGCCCUUCAAAAUACUCUGUGCUGUUUGCAUUUCGACACGCGUCUAUUGGCGGAGCGGUGGGUGGCGACGGAACAGGUCAUAUUUUGUACCCCACUUUUUGAAUAAACCAGCACAGAAGUUC